UAGUUCGAGUUGUAAAACAAGGUUGGUUGU
rnacentral:piRNA from 1 species